UAAUACCCAAUGUGCUCGGUGAUUCGGUUCAUCGAGUAAAGCUCCGGCGCUUCGGGAGAGGCCUGCGUGCCAUCAGCUAGUUGGUAGGGUAACGGCCUACCAAGGCAGAGACGGGUAGGGGGCGUGAGAGCGCGGACCCCCACACUGGCACUGAGAUACGGGCCAGACUCCUACGGGAGGCAGCAGUAAGGGAUAUUGCGCAAUGGACGAAAGUCAGACGCAGCGACGCCGCGUGGGCGAUGAAGGCCUUCGGGUUGUAAAGCCCUUUUAUGGGGGAAGAGAAAAAGGACGGUACCCCAGGAAUAAGUCCCGGCUAACUACGUGCCAGCAGCCGGGGAAAAACGUAGGGGACAAGCGUAAUCCGGAUUCACUUGGGCGUAAAGAGCGUUGAGGCGGUUCCGUAAGUUGGGCGUGAAAGCUCCGGGCUUAAACUCGGAGAUGUCGUUCAAUACUGCGGGGCUUGAGGACAGCAGAGGAAGGUGGAAUCCCGGUGUAGUGGUGAAAUGCGUAGAUAUCGGGAGGAACACCCGUGGCGAAGGCGGCCUUCUGGGCUGUUCCUGACGCUGAAGGCGAAAGCUAGGGGGAGCGAAACGGGAUUUAGAUACCCCCGGUAGUCCUAGCCCGUAAACGAUGGAUACUAGGUAUUGGGGGGUUGUAAAUUCCCUUUGUGCCGAAGCGAACGCGGUAAGCAUUCCGCCUGGGGAAUACGUCCGCAAGGCUAAAAUUCCAACGAUUUGACGGGGGCCCGCACAAGCAACGGAGCGUCUGGUCUAAUUCGAUGCUACACGAAGAACCUUACCUGGGUUUGACAUGCACGUGGUAGGGAACCGAAAGGGGACCGACCUUCGGGAGCGUGCACAGGUGCUGCAUGGCUGUCGUCAGCUCGU
rnacentral:rRNA from 1 species